AAUCAACGCUGGCGGCGCGCUUAACACAUGCAAGUCGAACGGGAAAGGGGAGCAAUCCCUGAGUACAGUGGCGUACGGGUGAGUAACACGUGGGUAAUCUGCCUCUUAGUGGGGAAUAACCCUGGGAAACCGGGGCUAAUACCGCAUAAUCCCGAGAGGGGAAAGCAGCAAUGCGCUGAGAGAGGAGCCCGCGGCCGAUUAGCUAGUUGGCAGGGUAAGAGCCUACCAAGGCGAAGAUCGGUAGCCGGCCUGAGAGGGCACACGGCCACACUGGCACUGAAACACGGGCCAGACUCCUACGGGAGGCAGCAGUGGGGAAUCUUGCACAAUGGGGGCAACCCUGAUGCAGCGACGCCGCGUGAGCGAUGAAGUCCUUCGGGGCGUAAAGCUCUUUCGGCAGGGAAGAUAAUGACGGUACCUGCAGAAGCAGCUGCGGCUAACUACGUGCCAGCAGCCGCGGUAAUACGUAGGCAGCGAGCGUUGUUCGGAGUUACUGGGCGUAAAGGGUGUGUAGGCGGUUGUUUAAGUUUGGUGUGAAAUCUCCCGGCUCAACCGGGAGGGUGCGCCGAAUACUGAAUGACUCGAGUGCGGGAGAGGAGAGUGGAAUUCCUGGUGUAGCGGUGAAAUGCGUAGAGAUCAGGAGGAACACCGGUGGUGUAGACGGCUCUCUGGACCGUAACUGACGCUGAGACACGAAAGCGUGGGUAGCAAACAGGAUUAGAUACCCUGGUAGUCCACGCCCUAAACGAUGCAUAUUUGGUGUGGGCAGUUCAUUCUGUCCGUGCCGGAGCUAACGCGUUAAAUAUGCCGCCUGGGGAGUACAGUCGCAAGGCUGA
rnacentral:rRNA from 1 species